rnacentral:rRNA from 1 species
UAGUCCACGCCGUAAACGAUGUCAACUAGCCGUUGGGGUCCAUUUAAGGGCUUAGUGGCGCAGCUAACGCGAUAAGUUGACCGCCUGGGGAGUACGCCGGCAACGGUAAAACUCAAAUGAAUUGACGGGGGCCCGCACAAGCGGUGGAGUAUGUGGUUUAAUUCGACGCAACGCGCAGAACCUUACCCGGAUUUGACAUUGAUGGAAUUCCUGAGAAACCAGGAAGUACCCUUCGGGGACCUGAAAACAGGUGCUGCAUGGCUGUCGUCAGCUCGUGUCGUGAGAUGUUGGGUUAAGUCCCGCAACCGAGCGCAACCCCUGCCCGUUAGUUGCCAGCAAGUAAUGUUGGGCACUCUAACGGGACUGCCGUCGUCAAGACGGAGGAAGGCGGGGACGACGUCAAGUCCUCAUGGCCCUUAUGUCCGGGGGCUACACACGUACUACAAUGGGGUGGCACAGAGGGGCAGCGAACUCGCGAGAGUAAGCUAAUCCCAG